rnacentral:rRNA from 1 species
GUGUCAGCAGCCGCGGUAAUACGAAGGGGGCUAGCGUUGCUCGGAAUUACUGGGCGUAAAGGGCGCGUAGGCGGUUUCGUUAGUCAGGCGUGAAAUUCCUGGGCUUAACCUGGGGACUGCGCUUGAUACAGCGAGACUUGAGGUCAGAAGAGGGUCGUGGAAUUCCCAGUGUAGAGGUGAAAUUCGUAGAUAUUGGGAAGAACACCGGUGGCGAAGGCGGCGACCUGGUCUGAUACUGACGCUGAGGCGCGAUAGCGUGGGGAGCAAACAGGAUUAGAUACCCCGGUAGUCC